rnacentral:rRNA from 1 species
UACGAAGGGGGCUAGCGUUGUUCGGAAUUACUGGGCGUAAAGCGCACGUAGGCGGGUUGUUAAGUCAGGGGUGAAAUCCCAAGGCUCAACCUUGGAACUGCCUUUGAUACUGAAGAUCUUGAGUUCGGGAGAGGUGAGUGGAACUGCGAGUGUAGAGGUGAAAUUCGUAGAUAUUCGCAAGAACACCAGUGGCGAAGGCGGCUCACUGGCCCGAUACUGACGCUGAGGCACGAAAGCGUGGGGAGCAAACAGG